rnacentral:rRNA from 1 species
AACGAACGCUGGCGGCAUGCCUAACACAUGCAAGUCGAACGAACCCUUCGGGUGAGUGGCGCACGGGUGCGUAACGCGUGGGAACCUGCCCUUAGGUUCGGAAUAACGUUUCGAAAGGAACGCUAAUACCGGAUAAUGUCUUCGGACCAAAGAUUUAUCGCCUUUGGAUGGGCCCGCGUUGGAUUAGCUAGUUGGUGGGGUAAAGGCUCACCAAGGCGACGAUCCAUAGCUGGUCUUAGAGGAUGAUCAGCCACACUGGGACUGAGACACGGCCCAGACUCCUACGGGAGGCAGCAGUGGGGAAUAUUGGACAAUGGGCGAAAGCCUGAUCCAGCAAUGCCGCGUGAGUGAUGAAGGCCUUAGGGUUGUAAAAGCUCUUUUACCUAGGGAUGAUAAUGACAGUACCUGGAGAAUAAGACUCCGGCUAACUCCGUGCCAGCAGCCGCGGUAAUGUCAGU